CUCCCGAACCCCUAUCCCCAUCGAGACCGCAUCCACCCGCCCUCAGCUUCGAUCCAUCCACCCACCCAAUCCCGAUCGAUCCAUCCACCUGCCCAAUCCCGAUCGAGGCUGCCGGUUGUUCCCAGCGACCAGAGGAGAGGAGCAGCCGGUGCGGCCGGUUCCAUCAACUGAAGACGGGGUGAGGGAUGGGAUCGAUCCCUGCGACCGGAGGAGUAGGAUCCUGGUCGAGGCAAUCCAAUCGAGCGCGUGAAGAAAGGUGGGGGCGAGGGAGAUAAUGGCCGACUCCUCCCUUACUUGAAACUGCUCUGCCCUCUUGAAGCUCGCAAUCAUGGCCCUUCUCUGGAAACUGCCCUUGCGUCCUCGCAAUCAUGGCGUAUUAUUCAUUCAUGGCUGAUAAAUUUUCAACCCUUUCUUAUGCGCGGUGGUCCUAUAUAGUGCUUCCCUCCCUCGCUUUGUAUGCACGCCCUACUCUAGCAUCUACAUCUUCUUCAGCGUUAUGCUCUGGUUAAUCGGGUCUGAAUCGGCUUGUCUGGCACGUUUUCUGUGGUCAUCUCCAUCUCAGACAGCCCACUUCUGUAACUGAGGACUGCUCAUGUCUCUGUGAAGAAGAAAACGCAGAUCCUCGAUAGGGAAUGCAUCGAUCCAUCUGAGGUACGAGGGAAAGAUGAAGAUCCAGCCGUCUAUCCAGGGGUAUGAGUAUUUAAACAUUGUUUUGUUUCUUUGAGAAAAUUGGUCAUGUCAAUCUAAAUUGGUGUGUUUGCUUGACUAAUGCAGGUGCCAAAUCAAGCAUACUGGCUGGUCACUCAAACCUAAUUGAGAAAUCAGUCAACUAUACCUAGAUCAGGCAAAAAAAUCAUUGAUAAAUGUAUUUGGUGUGCUUUUAGUUUGUAUUUUAACAAGCUUGGGAAUAUGAUAGUUACGGGUCAGCUAUUAGCUUUUUACAUCUUUAUAGAUAACUAAUGAUACCUUGCAGGCUAUUCAAAUGAUUUAUAUACCAAAGUUUACACUAUCAGUUUGUUCAUCAUUACAUGUUAUUUAAUUUAGGCGAAUCAAUUCCAACUUCAACUGUUUGUUUGGGAACUAUAUGUCAGGCGGCCGCUCCCUUGAUGUCGGUCGUGCCUCGCGCUACCCAAGCAAGUGCCUUCGCCGUGCCUCCUGCUCAUGAAUCCUUGUGCCGGCCCUGCCGCAUGCGCUGAAUUCCUCCUAAUUGGGCGGGCUCUGGGCUGUGGCUAACUGCCUGUCUCCUUUUCCACCACACCGCAGAAACAGUGCCUUCUCCAUGACGGUGACAAGGCAGUGGCAACGGCCAUACAUCUGACAACCAGGCCAGCGGUGCUUCCCCCUCCACUUUCCGGACAAGCUACAACAGGCGUUGACUACUCGUCCCACGCCUAUUCCUUGGCCAGCAGCCAGCACCACCAGGUCGAUCGCUCCCUCCACCUCAAGCUCUCACUCUAAGACCCACUAGCUUACACCACUGUCUUGCAUUCUUUUUGGAAAUAUAAUAUGCUUCAUGUUAUUCUUGGGUGUUGAAUUCUAAUCAUCUACUCUUGUAGUGCAACAGAAGAGGAGUGAUAUGUAUAAUAUGUUUGGCAUCUCCUGUCCUUUUGUGGUCUGUGUAGUGCUUUGCAAUGGCAUACUGAUAUUUUUCCUAUUCUUUUUCAUGUACGUACAUGGGUAGCCAAUUAUUUCUUCUCUUUGUCUGGUGUGCAGCAUGCAAGAGAAAAAUCUCCUUUAACCAUGUUCUGCUCUGCUCAUGUUCUGAUUCUGUUCAUCGCCUGGGCAGGUGCAGAGUGAGAGGGGAGAUUAGUUUGGUACUUUGGCAUAAGUUGCUUUUCUUUCAUUUGAUUUACUAUUUUUCAUAAAUGAUGGUAAUGUUCUACACCACUUUAAUAAACUAUCAUGCAUGCUGAUGUUUAGAACAAUAACAUAUUGCGGAGAAAGUUAAAAAGGAGCAUCUCAUAUGAAAUUGAGUACUAAGUGGCAUGACUUCACGUUUCAACUUAUUGAUGGUAUUAAUUCCCAUGUUGGAGCUAACAACACAUUGUGGCUUAUGUACUGAACUUCUGGGCCAUUAUAUCUGAAGCAACUCAAUUAAAUGAUAUUUUUGGACACCAUAAACUCACCCAUUUGGAACUGCAAAUUUUGCACUGUACUCUGUACAUAUUUUUGUGGCUCAGUGGCUCGAUAAUAACUCUGAAAGCCACGAUGUCCAGUACAUAAACCAUGCUCCAUUUGCUAAAUUGUAGGGAGCACUUGCUAUAUAACUAGCCCAACUGGCUUCUAUCAUACGAUUGUCAUCGGUCUUUUCCCACUUUCUACAGCCAUCUAACAUAACCCUUAUGCAACGACUCUUUUGGAUUGAAGUCCUAAAUUCCUCUGCAUCUUAGAUUGUACAUAUGGGCAUCUGCCACAACGCCUACAUUUACCAUUAACUAUUCUAACUAAAAGUAUACACACUUGCGGCCAGCUCAAACCAAGUUCAAUCCCAUGAGACAUCCUCUUCCACUACAUUACUACGAGUACUUUACAACAACUCCCUGGACAUUUAGGUUGCAUGUUUAAUUUUGUGCUGUCAUAUAGUAUUACGGAAUUACUAUCACUCUAUUGUAAAAAUGGAUGGGUGCGGCCAGGUACGUACGCCAUCAUAAUCUAGCAAAGUUCAUCUUUGUCCAAACUAAAUAUGAUAAUCUCUCUAAUGAUGUUUGGUUGAUUUUGUUUUUAAUGAUGCUUGAGCAAGCUACCAUCACUCAUAUUGACCAAACAUCUUAAUUUUCUCGUUCUCAGGUACAUGUUUCUGUAAUGAUGCUUAAAUGAUGCAAGGGAAGUAACACUCGUCUUGACUAGCCAGGCAGCUCCAUUUUCCUCAGUCUUAUUCUAAUUUUUACGCACGUGUUGUUCGCAGACACGCAUAUGUUACAUAUAUAACCAAAUGAAAUUGGCAUUUGUGAUCUCCAUAUUUUUCUUCUAAUGCAAUGAUAUGAUUUUCUUCUAAUGCAAUGAUAUGUAGUUUAUUUGUUGUAUUCUGCCUAGAUUAACUUCUAUGUACUUUGCAGGUUGUGCUUAAAAAUCAAAAACAGAGAUGGAACAAAAACAGAUGUAGGAUAGCAUCCAUUUUGAACCAAUGUUUGUACUACAGUGC
rnacentral:rRNA from 1 species